rnacentral:rRNA from 1 species
GUGAGGAAUUUUCCGCAAUGGGCGAAAGCCUGACGGAGCAAUGCCGCGUGAAGGAUGAAGGCCUAUGGGUUGUAAACUUCUUUUCUCAGAAAAGAAUUAUGACGGUAUCUGAGGAAUAAGCAUCGGCUAACUCUGUGCCAGCAGCCGCGGUAAGACAGAGGAUGCAAGCGUUAUCCGGAAUGAUUGGGCGUAAAGCGUUUGUAGGUUGUUUAAAAAGUAUUCUGUCAAAGAUUAGGGCUUAACCCUAGAUAGGCAGAAUAAACUUUUAAGCUAGAGUUUGGUAGAGGCAGAGGGAAUUCCCGGUGGAGCGGUGAAAUGCGUAGAUAUCGGGAGGAACACCAAAGGCGAAGGCACUCUGCUGGGCCAAUACUAACACUGAGAGACGAAAGCGAGGGGAGCAAAUGGGAUUAGAAACCCGGGUAGUCC